GCAGAGGAUAUGGGGGAAGGGUCUGCACCUGGCAAGGCCCCACAAAGUCCUGCUCAGUUAGAGUUAGGAGUACAAGAGGUUUAGUGAGGGGGUGAUGUCUGUGAGAAAUAAAAGGGAGAAGAAGCAGGCUUGGGCUGGGAAAGCCCCAGACUGCUAAAGAGAUUUGACCUUAUCAGUUAACCCAGUUAGAAGUUCUAAAGUAACUGCUACCCUCAGAGCAGUCCCAUCUUAGCAGAAAUGACUAUGUCCCCAUCUCCGUGCCCUGCUGAGUCACUGGCUGGGAGUCUCUAGGAAUGAACCUGGCCAAGAUGCAAAAGCCUAGGUGAAGCCUGGGGGUGCCAACAGUGGUAAGGCGUCAGCUCAGCACAAUCCUUGUAGCUGUCGGUUUCCUUACCCUGCAGCUGGGAUCUUAAUUCCAAGACCAGGGACCAAAUCCACGUCCCCUACAUUGGAAGGUGGAUUCCUAACUACUGGAUCACCAGGGAAGUCCCUCUUGAACAAAGUUGGUGAGGGGCACGCAGCAAACAAUAGCAACCGAGGACCUGCCUCAACCUGGUUCCUGGGGCCGUCGGUAGCCCCGAGAAGAGCGAAAGGCCCAAUAGCAGCUAAUAUUGUAUCAAUACUUGCCCAUCCUGGUUAAAGUCAAUCCCGAAGGACUUCAGAAUGUGGCCGUAUUUGGAGGAUUCUUCACCACUGAGUCAUCUGGGAAGCCUGACAAAAACAGAUCAGCCAAUACACUGAUGUCUUGGAGGAUUCACCAGAUUUCUUCUGUACAUGGGGACAGCUCCUAUGGUGGAAAAUGGCAAUUUACAUGGGAUAAGACUUCUACCUGACCUUACCUGUGUGUCCUCUGCAAGCUUAUCCAGUAAUUGCAAAAAUCAAUGUGUCACACGUCACUUCCCUGGAAAGCAGCGCUGAGGAUCUAUCAGUCACCAGCAACUGCAACAGACGUCAUUCAUGUCACCUGCACCU
ensembl:lncRNA